rnacentral:rRNA from 1 species
CCUACGGUGUGCAGCAGUGGGUGCUAUUACACCCUGUGGGAAACCCUGAUUCAGCGAUGCCUCGUUAAUGAAGACGGCCUUCAGCUUGUAAAGUUCUGUCUCAGUGUGCGCAAAUGACGGUACCCUGCACGACAGCUCCGUCUGACUACGUGCCAGCAGCCGUGGUACUAUGUCGGUAGCCAGGUUUGUCCGGAAUUACUGGGUGUAAAGGGGGUGUAGUCGGGAGGCUAAGUUGAAGGUGAAAUCUAUGGGCUCAACCCAUAGCUGCGUUUCAGAAUGUUCUUCUUGAGUGAAGUAGAGGCAGGCGGAAUGCCUAGGGUAGCGGUGAAAUGCGUAGAUAUUAGGAGGAACACCAGUGGCGAAGGCGGCCUGCUGGGCUUUUACUGACGCUGAGGCUCGAAAGCGUGGGUAGCAAACAGGAUUAGAUACCCCGGUAGUC